UCGUGUAUUUUAAAAAAAAAUCUUCUUUGGUAGGGUUCUGUAAUACGUGAACGUGUCUUCUUAGUGCCUGUAGAUCAUUUAUAUGGAUCAUUUGAUAGAUUCCCUCUAAAGAGAUGUUGUUUCAAUGAAUGUGGGGAAAGAGCAGGUACGACUGAGUCGUAAUAGCUGGUAAUUGGUUAUUUGAAUUCAUUGUCAUAUUCAAAUUCCGAUUUGAAAAGGGCCCUUUUGCUUCAGGACAUACCCAAAAUGCUCAACCUUUCCCCGUAAAAUUACUUCUUGUGGCUCCACAAAGAUGUUUUCGAUCUUCUUAGACCAUAGUUGCCCUAAUGAUGGCAUAUUGUAAACAAGGCUUCUAGUAGAAGAAAGAAGCCCUUCGACAGGUGUUGGCGAUUUAGAUCGCUCAGGGGUUUUUUCGGUGCGGGACGGUCGGGAAUCUCCUGUGAGAGUGCGCUCUGCCAAAGAGGGGCUUAAGAAUCGUGGCCGUGUCAGCAAACCCUAACUUGCGAUGUUUUUUGGACUCUUCUUCCAUCAGUGUUGGCACUGGGAGUUACUUGCAGGCUACGUGGCAUGGGGUUGGUGUUUCGGUGGCUGGGUUGCCUCCUGCUCAUCGGCCACGACACUCUUCAGAUUGUGGUGUUGGGAGCUCUGCUCUUGGCUCAAAUGUUGUCCCAUCGUCUCCACCCGUUGGACGGGAAAACUCUUCUAGGUUUGGCGAUCCUUGUCCCCUUGGUUCUGCUAUUCGCAAAUUAAAAUACUUGGAUAGGUUAUGUUGUGCAACGAGAUACUCUUUGGGAAUUCGAUCCGACGACCUAGUGGCUAUCAAUUGAAAAGAGGCUAUUAUGUCAAAGCUUGCAACUUUUAACAAUGGUGAAAUAAAUGCAGAACCAUCAUUGUUGAUAACUGCAGAUCAAGUGAUCUUUGGGGGGUGUAGAGUUGAUUUUUCCUCAUCUCCAAUAUGGUAUCAGAGCUCUAGAUCUGCAUGGCCAUGUUCUCUUCAUGAGAGAUUUUGGGCCUUAUUCUUCAUAUCUGUGUAUUCACGGGUGUUCGACAACACGGAGGACCAUAUUGGAACGUUGAUGAGUUUGAAGCACUAGCAAAUAUACUUCCUCCUACUUUCAACAUCUCCCAGCUGAUUGCUUAUUUUUCAAGAAAGGGCUUGGAUAUAAAGGAUCUUGUCUACCUUUCAGGUGCACAUACAUCCAUUGGAAUUGCUACUUACAGGCCUAACACUUUCAGCAAAAGUCUUUACAACUUCAGUGGAAAAGGAUAUUCAGACGUGGACCCUUCCAUGGACAAGUAUUAUUUAGACAACCUGAAGAAAUACAAGUGCAAGAGCUCAACUGACAAUACCACAAUACUUGAAAUGGACCUUGAAAGCCAUAGGACUUUUGAUAUUAGUUACUAUGAGUUGUUGAUGAAAAGAAGGGGACUUUUCAAAUCAGAUGUUGCACUUCUUACUGAUGCCACCUUCAGAUAUUAUAUUGAUCAACUAAUUGAAGGCUCCAUUGACAACUUUUUUCCUGGAUUCGUAGAAUUUGUAGAAAACAUGGGGCAGAUUGGUGUGCUCACUAGAAGUGCAGGAGAGAUCUGCCAUCACCGUGCUUUCAUUAAUUACUAAACUGAAUCCUUUGUGUGUUUGGCCAUCUUGUUUCAUAGCUCUUUAGGGUAUUUCUAUUUGCAAAUAAAAAAGGAGGAUUCUUUGCAAUAAUUCCCAAAAACCUCUGGGAUUGUGGUGAUCGUUAGUGUGCCAUUAAAUGGCCAAACACUUCUAGGAUUGCGGUGUUCAUCAGUGUGGCAUCAAAUUCAUGCAUUUGUAGGUUAUAGUUCAGAUUGUAUAUCUUGUGACAGUUAACCGUGCUUUAUAUGAAGAAUUUUCAUUGGAAGAUUACUUGUCAUUACAUCUCAAAACAAAAACAGUGCACAGGCUAUACGUUUCUCUAGCAAUGUAAUUAUAAACACCGUGGUGGUGUCAUUAGAAGUAGUGAAGUUUAAGUGCAUUAAAAUACGUUUCCACAUUGUAUACACAUUUAUUGUAUAGGAAGCUUUGACAUCUUAUAACUUGAUAAAUAUAUAUAUUUU